rnacentral:pre_miRNA from 1 species
GGGGGGAGGCCGGAUCCUGGGCUGUGUCCCCAGCGCCCUGUGCUCCCGGACCAGUGCUGUUGGAUUCAUGCUCCCGGCAGGGCAGCCCCCU